rnacentral:lncRNA from 1 species
GCAACCACUUAUCUUUAUCCUCUCACGCGGAUAAGACACGUUCGACGUUGUUUUAAAAAGAGGAGAAAGGUGGAACGUGUGUAGAAAUUUUAGGAGAGAAACUUUGGGGCAUGAGAAAAGUUUGUGCGCAAGGUGAAGGUCCAAAACCUUCCGAGAGAAAAAGAAAGAAAAGAAAGAAAAUUGAGCGCAGGGUUUCUAGUGUGUACCCUAGGGUUUCUACCUAGGGUUUGGGAAGUGAGAUUGGUGUGCCACGAGUGUCGUGAGUCCACCAAAUUUUAGG